rnacentral:rRNA from 1 species
CGCGGUAAUACGUAGGGUGCAAGCGUUAUCCGGAAUUAUUGGGCGUAAAGAGCUCGUAGGCGGUCUGUCGCGUCUGCUGUGAAAUCCCGAGGCUCAACCUCGGGCUUGCAGUGGGUACGGGCAGACUAGAGUGCGGUAGGGGAGAUUGGAAUUCCUGGUGUAGCGGUGGAAUGCGCAGAUAUCAGGAGGAACACCGAUGGCGAAGGCAGAUCUCUGGGCCGUAACUGACGCUGAGGAGCGAAAGGGUGGGGAGCAAACAGGCUUAGAUACCCUGGUAGUCCACCCCGUAAACGUUGGGAACUAGUUGUGGGGUCCUUUCCACGGAUUCCGUGACGCAGCUAACGCAUAAG